GGGCGCGUGGUCUAGCGGUUCAGGAUGCCGGCCUGUCACGCCGGAGGUCGAGGGUUCAAAUCCCUUCGCGCCCG
rnacentral:tRNA from 1 species